GACGAACGCUGGCGGCGUGCUUAACACAUGCAAGUCGAACGAGUGGCGAACGGGUGAGUAAUACGUGGUUAACCUGCCCUCUUUUUGGUAUAAGCCUUGGAAACUGGGUCUAAUACCGAUUAUAUGGGGAUGUGCUCGCGGCCUAUCAGCUGGGUGGUGGGGUGAGGGACUACCAAGGCGUUGACGGGUAGCCGGCCUGAGAGGGGGAACGGCAACAUUGGGACGGAGAGACGGCCCAGACGACGACGGGAGGAAGCAGUGGGGGAGAUUGCACAAUGGGCGAAAGCCUGAUGCAGCGACGACGCGUGGGGGAUGAAGGCUUUGGGGUUGUAAACCUCUUUAGCGAGCGAACGGGUAGGUGGAGAAGAAGCGCCGGCUAACUACGUGCCAGCAGCCGCGGUAAUUC
rnacentral:rRNA from 1 species